rnacentral:pre_miRNA from 1 species
AAAAAGACAAACCCUGGGUUUCCGUGUCCAACUUUAACUGUCCGUCUUAUAAGAAAUUUUUUUAUAAUUCGUAUUUUCAUUGUUGUUAGAUGAUAAAACAUGAUUAAUAUUUUAUGCGUGACUUGUCUUUUUAAUUGUUUUUAUAUUUUUUUCAAAUAAGACGGACGGUCAAAUGUUGGACACGGAAAUCAGGGUUUGUCUUUGU